GUGCUAAUAGCAACACACAACCGUACAGUGCCAUUCAAGGGAUUAUAGCGAAAUGAAAUUCUUCCAGAUCUGUGGUCUUGCUCUGGCCUUUAUUUUGGCCUUCGCCAAUGCAGCGGCGGAACCUCAAGGCACCAUUUUAAUACAGACCGACAAUUCACAAACCAUCUUAACGGGAAAGUGAGGCAGUUACCGAACUAUCUUUGGACUAUUACGUAAUAAUAAACAUAAUAACAUAAAUGA